rnacentral:rRNA from 1 species
GGUAAAUCUCGUGCCAGCCACCGCGGUCACACAAGAGACCCAAGCUAAUCGUUUGCGGCGUAAAGAGUGGACUCAUGCUUAUCACACUAAUUAAGGUCAAAACGCAACUGAGCUGUCAUAAGCCUAAGAUGCAUUUAAAACCGCCCUAAAGAUGACCCUAAAUUCACAAGACUUAAUGAACUCCACGAAAGCCAGGGCACAAACUGGGAUUAGAUACCCCACUAUGCCUGGCCCUAAAUCUUGAUGCUCUAUAUAACCAAAGCAUCCGCCUGAGAACUACGAGCACAAACGCUUAAAACUCUAAGGACUUGGCGGUGCCCCAAACCCACCUAGAGGAGCCUGUUCUGUAAUCGAUACUCCACGAUACACCCGACCACUUCUUGCCAUGGACAGCCUACAUACCGCCGUCGCCAGCUCACCUCCUCUGAGAGCACUACAGUGAGCACAACCGCCCUAACCCCGCUAACAAGACAGGUCAAGGUAUAGCUUAUGAAGUGGAAGAAAUGGGCUACAUUUUCUAAUCUAGAAAAUCCCACGAAAAGGGGCAUGAAAUAGCCCCUAGAAGGCGGAUUUAGCAGUAAAGAGGGAUAAUAUAAGCCCCCUUUAAGCUGGCUCUGGGGCACGUACAUACCGCCCGUCACCCUCCUCAUAAGCUCUAAACUACCAAUAAAUAAUACUCCUACCUGCUAAAGAUGAGGUAAGUCGUAACAAGGUAAGCAUACUGGA